rnacentral:rRNA from 1 species
AGAGUUUGAUCCUGGCUCAGGAUGAACGCUAGCGGGAGGCCUAACACAUGCAAGUCGAACGGGAUUGAGAGCUUGCUCUCAUGAGAGUGGCGCACGGGUGAGUAACGCGUAUGCAACCUACCUAUAACUGAGGGAUAGCCCAUAGAAAUGUGGAUUAAUACCUCAUAGUUCUUUUGAUCCGCAUGGAUUAAAAGAUAAAGCUCCGGCGGUUAUAGAUGGGCAUGCGUGACAUUAGCUAGUUGGUAAGGUAACGGCUUACCAAGGCUACGAUGUCUAGGGGUUCUGAGAGGAUGAUCCCCCACACUGGUACUGAGACACGGACCAGACUCCUACGGGAGGCAGCAGUGAGGAAUAUUGGUCAAUGGGCGCAAGCCUGAACCAGCCAUCCCGCGUGCAGGAUGAAGGCCCUAUGGGUCGUAAACUGCUUUUAUACACCAAGAAAAACACCCACGUG